CCCCCAUCAACAAACCACCAUCAAAGAAAAAGAGAUACAAAAAAGCAAAGAAACAAAUAGCAACAAUAAGCUAAAUCUGUGCCUUUGAGGCCACUUAUCACUGGCCUUGCCAUAAUAUUUUGGAUACAUUAUUAUUUAUUUAUAAUGAAGCAAAUAAUUUCAUGCUGGGAGCUGUUUAAAUGAUUCUAUAGUAUAAAUUUUAUUCCUUAGGAGAACAGGGAUACUGCGCCCAGACCACUUCAUUGAGCUGAAGUGGUUUGGGUGUCUAUAGUGUCCCUUUAAUGAUGUCUAGUAUCAUUUAAACUCUAGCCUUCAUAUUUACCCCAGUAACUCUAAAUUAUUUAUUUUCCAUAAAAGUAAAAAAAUAAUGUCAUUUAAUGACACUGCCCCAGCUAUGUAUUUCCAUGUAACAUGAUAUAAAACCUAGACCUAGGAGUUCAUACAUAGUUACAUAGUUACAUAGCUGAAAAGAGACUUGUGUCCAUCAAGUUCAGCCUUCCUCACAUUUGUUUUUUGCUGUUG